rnacentral:lncRNA from 1 species
AUAAAGUUUCCACUCAGGGUAGUUGCCAGCUGCAAUGGAAUCAUAGAGAUCCUUGGUAGCAUGGCUGUGAUUAGCUCCUCCAACCUUAAUAGCUUCAUCCUCCAACAAACACUUGACUCCACACGUAGGUUUCCAAUGAAAUUUCACAUACUGUACUUUCCCCGCCUUAUUGAUAAGGGUAUAGGUGUUAACACCAGAGCCUUCCAUGUGCCUGUAAUCUUGUGGAACUCCCAGAUCAUCAAAUAGGAAGGUGAACAUGUGCAGGCUUUCUGGGUGGUGGGAGAAGAAGUCAAGGAUCCUCCAAGGCUCUUGAAUGUGCGACUUGGGGUUCGGUUUGAGAGCAUGGACCAUGUCCGGGAAUUUCAUUCCGUCACGAACAAAAAAGACAGGGAAAUUGUUUCCAACCAGGUCAAAAUUACCCUGUGUUUAAGAACAAAGUCGCCACAUGAGUACUAACAACACAGCAAAAUAAACCUGAAUAAAGUUGUAUAUAGUGAAUAAUAAUGUUACCAAGAAAUCAACCAUCUGUAUAAGCAUCUAGAUUACAGAUGGUAUGCUACAUGAGCAAUCUUUUACAGCCAGGUGACUACCCCCAUUAGUAAACGAAAAUGAAAAGGCAAAGAAAAGAAAGGAAUGAAUGCAAUCUUUCAUCAAAGUCACAAGACUGCAUAAUUUCCAACAACUAUAAUUAGUCAAAUAUGAAUUGAGUACUUCAUAUUUUGUCACCACAGCCACCUCAGCUGCCACUACAGACACCAAUACAUAUCCACUAAAUAUGCCUAUGCUAUUGAAAAUAAAAAUAAAAUUAACACAUUGAUAAUAUAAAGGUAAAAACCUCACCUCUCUGGUGUAAAACUUCACUGCAAAACCACGAGGAUCCCUCAGGGUUUCAGGGCUGCCACGCUCAUGGAUAACAGUGGAGAAACGCACAAUGACAGGUGUCUGAACACCGGGGGCUCGAAGGAAGUCAGCACAUGUAAGCUGAGAAAUAUCAUGAGUGACCUCGAAGAAUCCCUUCGCACUGGCUCCCCUAGCAUGGACAACACGCUCUGGGAUUCGUUCUCUAUCAAAGUUGGCAAGUUUCUCCACCAGAUGAUAGUCCUCAAGGAGAAUUGGGCCUGACAAAUAGACACAGAAAUUUAAUUCGGAACUGCACCGACUCAACUCACCAUAUUUAAGCAUCUAGAUUACAUGCAAAUAUAGGAUAAAAAUGAAAUUAGUUGUUAUACAUUCCAGAACAUCAAAUAAAGAUGAUUGCUGCUCAGUUGCAAAUAUUCGUAAUUUUUAUUUACAUUUAGAAGGUAGGUUUUCAGACAACCAGAUGAUCAAAAAACCCAUCUUGACAAACCAAAAGGAGGCUGGAGGAAUUAAAAGAGAACCAACAGUGCGGGAGAAUCAUUUUUCAACUAAAGUAAGCAUAAAAUUUUAAAAUAAAUGUCAAUAGGAAAAGGAUCAGCUUCAAAUACAAGAUAUAUAAGUAUAUAUACAUAUCUUAAAUCCCACAAGCGUUUCCAAAGAUUAAUCAUCCUCAACAUGGUAGUGGUGGGAAUAACAUCCAAAAAGCAGUUUACAGCUCAUAAUCACAUGAAUAUCAAAAUCUUGUUCAGAAAAGUUGAGAAAACCAUCACAAAAAUUCAAAACCCAGGUAAGCGAAGAACCAAUGAUAACAAAGAUGAAUAUAUACACACAAAUAGUGAAUAGCAUCAUAAGAUAGAUUGAACAUGAAGCGCAACUAAAAAAACAAUAAAAUAUAAAAUAUAAACUGUGUUGCAAUUGAAAAGCCAGCAUCAAUCAACGAAGAGUUGUGAUGAAUUACCUCUAGAUCCAACAGUCAAAGAAGAGUUGUUGUUCCAAACAGGAGCACCGGAGUUUGUGGUCCAGAAUGGGGAAUCAAAAGCACUUGAAGGGCGGUACUGCAACAUACACAACGAAAACGAAACAAGACCAUGAUGAGCUAAAAGAACAACAAACACAAAAUUUCGAGCUACGCUUAAAUGACCAAUCUGAUUGAUCAAGAAGAUUAAUUCAUCAAGAAAUCAAACUUAAACAAAUCAAGAGAUAUUAUAACAGGGAAAUGAGUACCUUGUAAGGAUCCAUGGAGAAAGAGGGGGAAGGAGGAGUUUGAUAAGAAGGUGAGAGAGCAGAGCAAAGCCACCCAAAGGGAGGGUCGUGUGGCAAAUGAGAAUCGAAGAGCGAAAUGUGAAAUUGGGGAAUUUAUAAACACUUGCGGGUCGUGGGCGUGGCUCGCGCUUCUGCGCAAAUUACCAAUCUCAGCAGGUUAUCUUUAUCCACACACAGAGUGGGAGGUCAAGAGAAGAGAAGACAUAUCUUUGCCAAUUUAGCGUCGCGAGUCAGAACGAUUCUCGCCAAACCUGUCAACGAAGCAUUCUUGUAUGCACAAUUGUGGCAAAACGUCCUUCACUCACUUCAAAUCUUUUACAACCAAUUUUAUGAGGAGGGAUUUUUUUACAAAAAAAAUAAAAAAUUAUACAAUUUUAUGAGGAGAUGGUAUGCAACAAAAAAACAGAGGGGAUUCAGAUUUUUUUUUUUUAAUGGAAAUUAUUGUCCAAAAACAAAAGAAACAUUGAAGAAAUUGAGAGUUCAAUUUAAAAGUAAAAGAGAUCAUUAAAAUGAGUAAAAGAGACUAGAAACACCAUAAUUGACUGUGUAAUUAUAAAAUAUAUGGAGUCGUUUUUUUAUUUUUCAAAUUUUGUGAACAUAUUAUCCCUAAAUAAUGAACACAAAAAUUGAUUUAAAUAUAAUGUUGGUGUUGAUUGCAAUUAAUAAUAGCUAACUAUAGAGAUUUGAUUGAAACAAUUAAAACAUUUCACCACGACAACAAGGUCAAGAAUGCAAGUUGUUUAUUAUUAUGAAUUGGUUUCAAGACGAACAAUUUAACAACAAAUUCCAAACCUCUAUAUUUAGGAUUCAUGCAUUUAUCUACAUUUUAUGAAACUAAGUUGCUCAAAUAAUCUAACCAUUUAACAUGACACAUCAUCAAUUUUUAACCUAAGAUUUUUUUAAAAAAAAAUUGAAGUUAAUUUUAAAGUUAACGUGCUUGAGGGGUUUUUUUUUUCAUCAUGCUUCCUCCUUGAGAAAACUGUGAAUAAAAUUAAUUAAUUGCUACUUAUCUUCAGCUUAUAUAUUGAACCCUAAAGCAUAAAGCGAACUUCAAAACUUUAAUUUUUUGGCCACACAAACUUGAGCAAAGUAUGUCUUAUCUUUUUCACAAGAUUAUUCACUCUCAUUCUAAAUUCAUCGUGAUAUGUUAAGAAAUAACAAGUUUCACGAUGAACUAAAAAAGAACUCUCAAGCACGUUAACAUUAACGUUAGCAUAAGUUUUUGGAAAGAACGAAAAAGACCUUAAUUUAAAGAUUGAUGAUAUGUCAUAUGAAUGGUUAAAUUAUUUAGUUUAAAUUUUACGAAAUAUAAAUAAAUACACGGAUUCUAAAUAUAGAAAUUUGAUAUUCAUUUGCCAUAAAUAUCACUUUAAGAGUGAAAAUCCAGAAUACUAAACUAAAAUUAUAUUUCUUCACAAAAAUUGCAUCUAAAGAUGAGGAUAAAUUGAUGUUCAUCCGGACAUUGAAAAAGCACAAUAUAUCGUGAAGAUAUUCGAUAUAUUGAAAACCUCGCCGAUAUUCAUGUAGGAAGGCUAAACGAUUUUUUUAUGGCAAAAACUUCAACAACAACAACAAAAAAAGAGGCCUGGAAAAUUAUUAUUAUCAUAAUCGUGGUGGGAAUUCAAAAUUGAAAAUAAUUGAGAACGUCAUGCAUUCAUCGUUCGUUAUCCAGGUCUUGGAGCUUUGCUAACACCUAGGCGCAACCACUUAAGGCAGUGGCGGGUAUGGGUGACGUGGUCCACUCACAAGACGCCACGACCACCAAAGUGUACCUUGAAACGCGUGCUCUUAGAAAAUAGCACAGAGAUUCUCUCUCUCAGGGGAUAUGCUUGAAAUUUAUGAACAAAACAGAAGGAAAAAUAAAAACAAACAAGAGGCUAUUUUUGGUGUUGUCUGUGUGAAAGCCGCCAAAACAGCAAAUAUGCUGAUAAGGUUAGAAUGGGCCGAGCUCAGAUUAGCCACAAAGACUGUUCCUCUCUGGGCCCACUUAUCAAUAUUUUAACAUUUUUUUUAAUGGAGCUCGACAAUGAACAAAUUUUGAAGGUAAUUACUUGAUGUUAGUUAGAGAACCUCUAUGUCUAAGGGAACUACGAGUUCAAGGAAGCUUUGAGGUAUGCUCAUGUGACCCUACUUCUUGUUCUUUAUGCAUAAACAUAUUCAAGUUGCAUGUUCAAGGCUUGCCAUCUAAUCAUUAUAUAAUAUUUUGAUCAUCUAUUAUAAAAAUAUAAAAAAAACUAUGUAACUGGGCCUUGGUGCAAUAAGAACUUAAGCAUUAGCUUCAUGUAUGUAGGAAAAGUAGCAAAUAAUUUCAAUUGUAAAAUGAAUGCUUUGGUUUCUUUUCUUGUUAAUGCCGUUUGACUGGUUGUUUUGUCUUAGUGGUUCUUUGACCUCUCUUUGGUCUUUUUAUUGAAAGUUAUGUUGAGAAACUGAAAUUAACUUAAACGUAAAAGGAUUUUUUGAGUAAACAUAUUUCACAGCAUAAGAAUACUGCAGUUUUCCUCUCUUAUAUAUAUCUGAAAAACAAAGCUUACAAAAUAACAAUCUCCACAAUAACCACUAACACACAAGUGCAGAUUUUGUGGAGUUCAACUACCUUAAGCAACGGAAGCAAAUUUGAACGUGGUGAACAGACUAAACCACAACUUCUACAUUCUAGGACUUCAGCUUGACUUGGUCUCUACAUGGCCAUGUCAGCAUUAUUUAAUUAAAAAACUAAUUAAACUUAACUAAAUAACUUUUAACACCCUCCCUUAAACUGAUUUUUACGAAAAACAGUUUAGGAUCUCUACACCAUCACAUAAUCAUCUUCCUGUUCAAUGCUUUGAAAUGAACAAACUCCCAACAUGCUUCUCAGCUUCUCAAGCGCAGGUACCAUCACAUAAUCAUCUUCCUGUUCAAUGCUUUGAAAUGAACAAACUCCCAACAUGCUUCUCAGCUUCUCAAACGCAGGUUGCUUCAAAGGCUUAGUUAAGAUGUCUGCAACCUGCUCCCCACUCUUGCAAUAUUCAAGUACAAUCUUCCCAUCACUGCACAGGUCACGCAAAAAAUGAAAACGUACAUCAAUGUGUUUACUUCUCCCAUGCAUGACUGGAUUCCUCGAUAGCUUUAUAGUUGACAUGUUGUCGCAGUAGAUGGUUGUUGGUCCCUUUUGAACAUCACCAAGCACUUCAAAUAUUUUCCUAAGCGACAUAGCUUGACAGGAGCUUGCAGCUGCUGCUACAUAUUCAGCUUCUGUUGAGGAAAGUGUCACAAUUUGUUGCUUCUUUGAGGACCACGAUAUUGCACCAGAGUUGAGCAGAAAUGUGUGACCGGAAGUGCUCUUACGAUCAUCUAUAUCACCUGCAUAGUCACUAUCUGUGUACCCAACAAAACCAGAACCAUCUUCCCUUUUAUAAAACACACCAUAAUCAAUUGUCCCCUUUACAUACCUGAGAAUUCUCUUUGCUGCAUUGAGAUGCAUUUCAGUUGGUUUUUCCAUAUAUCGGCUCACAAGACUCACUGCAUACAUGAUGUCAGGCCUCGUGUAUGUUAAAUACAUGAGACUCCCAAUUAUCUGUUUAUAGAAAGUGCUGUCAACCUCCUUUCCACCUUUGUCUUUGCAUAGCUUUAAGCCAUGUUCAGCUGGAGUUCCAAAUGGCUUGCAGUCAUCCAUCUGAAACCUGUUAAGAAUGUCCUGUGCAUAUUUUUUCUGGUAGAUGAAAUUACCAGCAGUAGUUUGAAUGACUUCCAAUCCAAGAAAAUAGUGCAUUAAUCCUAGAUCAGUCAUUUCAAACUCCAUCAUCAUAGACUUCUUGAAUUCAUCAAACAUUUUAGCAUCACUUCCAGUGAAUAUCAAGUCAUCAACAUACAAGCAUACCAUGAGUAUUUUACCUUCUUCCUCAGUCUUGACAUAAAGUGUGUGCUCAAAAGGACAUUUGUGAAAUCCAAGCUUAGCAAAGUGAGCAUCUAUGCGACUGUACCAAGCUCGAGGUGCUUGUUUCAGUCCAUAGAGUGUUUUCUUCAGUUUGAACACCUUCUCUUCUUCUCCUUUUCUCUCAUAACCAGGUGGUUGAUCAAUGUACACCUCCUCUUGCAGGUUUCCAUGCAGGAAUGCUGACUUCACGUCUAACUGAAAAAUUUGCCAGGAAUUUUGAGCUGCAAGAGAGAUCACUAACCUAAUCGUGUCGUGCCUCGCAACUGGGGCAAACACCUCUUUGUAAUCAAUGCCAUGCUUCUGCUUGUAGCCCUUAGCUACCAAACGAGCUUUGUGCUUGUCAACCUCACCUUUUUCGUUCAACUUUGUUCUAAACACCCAUUUAACACCAAUGGUUUGCUUUCCCUUUGGAAGAUCAGUUAACUCCCAGGUUUGAUUCUUCUCAAUGGACUUGAUUUCAUUGUCCAUUGCUUCCCUCCAUUUCUCCUCUUUAACAGCCUCAGUAUAUGUGAUUGGAUCACUAUCUACAAGUAAUGCAAAGUGAGCAUUUUCAUCAUCAGAACUUGAAUAACUUACAUCGUAGUCCAUCAUCCAUGCUGGCCUCUUCCUUGAGUUCUCAUCUCUCAAAUUGUAUCUCUCUUCUUCAAACUGUUGAGAUGACUGAACUUCAAGUUGAGGUGGCUGCUGGGCUUGAGUUUCAGGAGCUGCUACCUCUUCAUUGUCUAAAUCAUCAUAAACUGGAAUUUGUUGUUGAACCGAUCUGUUCUCAGACCAAUUCCACAUAGUGUCUUCAUCAAAUAUCACAUCCCUGCUUACCACUAUCUUCUUUGUAACUGGAUUGUACAGUUUGUAUGCUUUUGAGACUUCACUUACACCAAGAAAAACACAUUUUUCACUUUUGUCAUCCAACUUCUUUCUUUUCUCAUCGGGGAUGUGUGCAUAUGCUAUGCACCCAAACACCCUAAAGUGAUCAACCGCAGGCUUCAAUCCACUCCAAGCUUCUUGAGGAGUCAUAUUCUUAACAGAAAAUGUGGGACUUCUGUUUAAAAUAUGAACUGACCAUAGCACAGCUUCAGGCCAAAACUUCUUGGGAAUUCUUCCUUUGACUAGCAGACUUCGAACCAUGUUGAGAAUGGUGCGAUUUUUCCUCUCACUUACACCAUUUUGUUGUGGUGUAUAGGCAGUGGUCAACUGUCUCUUGAUGCCUUUCUCUUUGCAAAAUGCAUCAAAUUCCUUCGAACAGUACUCUCCCCCACGGUCAGUUCUUAGAGUUUUAAUCUUCUUUUCUGAUUCAUUUUCAACUAGAGCUUUGAAGCUUUUGAAUGCUUCAAAUGCCUCUGAUUUUUCCUGCAAGAAAUAUACCCAUGUCUUUCUACUAAAAUCAUCAGUAAAGGAGAUGAAAUAUUUCUUGUUACCAUUUGAGAUGGGAUUUAUUGGUCCACAUAGAUCAGAGUGAACCAUCUCCAGGAUUUAUUGAGCCCUUGCUGCCUUGCCACUUGGAAAAGAGUCUCUUUUGUGCUUCCCAGUGAUGCAUUCUUCACACAUCUUUGAUGGAGGAGUUAUAUCAGGUAAGCCAGUGACCAUCCCUUUCUGGUGAAGUGUUCUCAAGCCAUUAAAAUUCAAAUGGCCAUAUCUGUAGUGCCAUCUCCACGGGUCAUCUUCUUUGGCAAAUAAGCAAGCCUGCAGAGUCUUGAUUUUCAAAGGAAACAAUCUGUUGGAAGACAUUUUCACAACAGCAAUGGACCCUCUUUUUGGGUCGUACACUUCCCACUCUCCUUUAUAGAUUGUAAUCCUAUAGCCUUUAUCUUGUAACUGACCAGCACUCAGCAAAUUUGUCUUCAAAUCAGGAAUAUAAAAAACAUUUGAGAUAGUUUCAAUAAAGUCAUUUUUAGUUUUGAUUUGAAUAUCUCCCUUACCCAUCACUUUCACUGUUGACUUGUCACCAAAACUCACUACCGUGUGAAAGCUUUCAUCCAAAUUAAUAAAGGAAGACUUACAUCCACUCAUGUGAUUGCUGCAGCCUGUGUCCACAUACCAUGUCUCCUGAUCAGUUUUUGUCAGUGCAUGAAAAGCCAUCAAAAGUGUCUCUUCCUCCUUCUUUUUCUCCACAAAAUUUGACUUUUCUCCUUUUUCUUUUGGUAACUUCGUGUAGCACUCAUUCUUGUAGUGCCCAAAAUUUCCACAUCUAUAACACUCCACUUUUGACUUAUCAAAGUGGUACGUUCCUUUUUCUUCAAAGUCAUCAUCUCUUUUGAAAACAUGAGAUGACUUGCUGUCAUCUCUAUGUCCAGACCGUCCACCUCCUCGAUGACCUCGACCACCUCUUCCUCUAUCACGUCCACCUCUUCCACGACCUCUUCCUCCUCGAGAACUUGAGGACUCAGAAACAAUGGAAGCUUUCAGAGCUGUUUGUUCUUCACUGGCAGUGGUGCGGUUAAGUCUUUGUUCAUGCACUAACAAAGAGCUUUGUAGUUCAUCAACUCGUAACUCAGCAACGUUCUUUGCCUCUUCAAUUGAACAGACAAUGUAGUCAAAUUUUGGAGUCAAUGAUCUCAUAAUUUUCUCCACAACUUUGACUUCUUCCAUGGUGCCACCAUUGGAUCUCAUCUUGCUUGCUAUUCCCAGAGUUCUAGCAAAGAAAUCAGUGAUGGACUCUCCUGAUUUCAUUUGUAAAGUUUCGAAGUCCCUUGUUAGAGUUUGAAGCACUGCACGCUUCACCCUCUCUGACCCUGCAUAUUUCUUCUUCAAAGAAUCCCAUAUUUGUUUGGAGGUCUCCUUCUCGAGUAUCGUCUCCAAGAUAGAUCGAUCAAGUGCCUGAAAAAGGUAAUUUUUCACCCUCAAGUCCUUCAGCUUCUGUUCAGCAACCCUCUUUUGUUGUUGUUCAGUCAACACAACUCCCUCUGCUGGGGCGUCAAUUCCUGAUUCCACAAGAUUCCAAUACUCCUUUGACCUGAGAAAAUUUUCCAUCAGCAUGCUCCAAUGGUCGUAGUGACCAUCAAAUCGUGGAAUCGCUGGUUGAAUAAAACUCUCAGUGGCUUUCUCUGUUGCCAUUGUUUCUUGCUGCUGCAAGACACAAUCUUUCACCUUUUUUUCAAGUUUGUUCAGGCCCAGAAGAGCUCUGAUACCAGAUGUUGAGAAACUGAAAUUAACUUAAACGUAAAAGGAUUCUUUGAGUAAACAUAUUUCACAGCAUAAGAAUACUGCAGUUUUCCUCUCUUAUAUACAUCUGAAAAACAAAGCUUACAAAAUAACAAUCUCCACAAUAACCACUAACACACAAGUGCAGAUUUUGUGGAGUUCAACUACCUUAAGCAACGGAAGCAAAUUUGAACGUGGUGAACAGACUAAACCACAACUUCUACAUUCUAGGACUUCAGCUUGACUUGGUCUCUACAUGGCCAUGUCAGCAUUAUUUAAUUAAAAAACUAAUUAAACUUAACUAAAUAACUUUUAACAAGUUAAUCAAAUAAAAUAAAAAUAAAACAACAAUUAGAAGGGUUGCAAUUAGAUAGGCUUGCUAGGCUCCAAGAGGUGCAAGACUGUCUUUUGAUUAAAGUUCAAGCUCCCAAGUCCAAAUUUGGGGCACCAACUAGCCUAUCUCAUUGCAGGCGCUUAACACUUGAAGGGACUGGCGCAAUGAUUUACUAGUAAAAUUUGUAAUAGCUUAAGACUUCGCUAGUAUCAUUUAGUAGUUACAAAUCACUUUACUUCGCCAGUAGUGAGUCCCAAUAUCGGCUGAAUUGCUCUUUCGCCAGUAUUAGUCUGUCGGUAUAAGCUAAAAUUGUAGUAGUGUAAGCUAAUUCUUGAUUUACUGUAAUUAUUCCCUUAUCGGUUAAAACUUCAAAUCAUCAAAGAAAAUCAAAGCACUCUCUAAGAAUUUCACCCUUUAAGAGUGCAUUGAGGCAAACCUAAAAAAAUUCUUCUUCAUCAUCAUCUUGUCACGCUUCCUGAAUCCACCAUAGGAGAUUUUAGUUUGGCCCUCUGGAUGUCCUCUUUUAGGUCUUUACGCACCGCUUCUUGGGGCUUAUCACUUGAGCUCCCAAAGAUCACUCUCUUAGCUUCAGCAAAACUUCCGUCGUGAUCUCGUUUGCGUUUCCCUAGGAUCUCCAAGGCCUCCAGCUGUUUUUGCAUCUCUUUAGAAUAAGAAGUUACCAUCUUUGAUAACUUUUCAUUUUCUGCCUGCAAUAUUUGAAGCUAGCGUUGAUUCUCCUCUGCUGUUUUUUCCUCUUUUUUUUUUUUUCAAUCUUUUGAUCUCACGCCGAUAUUCAUCAACCAAAUUCUGCUCUGCCACAACUAAGCUCUCAGUACUUGCACCUCAUAAGAUUUUGCAAUGAGGCGAUGCCCCACACUUGUGAUAGUUGUCGCAUUUUGCAAGCACAGUGCCACAACAUUGCUCACUAACCGGUUGUCAUCCCCCGUUCCUAGUAUGCAUACAUCCCUGGGAGUCACCAAACUCUUCGCAACUCCAAUGGCAACCUCGUUGUCAAGGAGUAACGAGUCGCUUUUUGUCACUGGUCCUCGUGAAGAAGCAAAGUAGGGUAUCCAGACUGGUGCAACUCCUUGCCCCUAUGUCUGUGUUGGCGGAGCUAGGUUAAGAUCCAAAGAAGAUGAGAAGGGAUACGACAUUUUCUUUCUGCUUUCUUUUUCUUUCAUUUUCUCUCUUUUCUCUUUCUUCUUUCCUUUCUCUUUUCUUUCUUUCUUUUCUCUCUUCUGCGUGGUUGUAAUUCUUCUUUUUCCUUUGUUUCCUUUAAUAGAUGAACCCUAGCACCAUUGCACCGUCUAAUUUUUCCGCAUUCCUUGAGCUCCACAGCCUUCUCGCUUUCCACCGUCUACAACUUUGUCGCGACUUGUGCAACGUCGUCCCUACUAUCCAUGGCACCCAUAAUUCCGCUUGUAGAUUUGUCGUACCUCUGCGCGUCGACACAUGUCUCCUCUCUCUAGGGGUGGGCAUUGGAUUUGUGGUUCAAAUUGAUUUAGGGUUGAUUAAAAUAAAAUGGCAGCCCUAGAAACAGUGACCAGGUAUCUAUCCCAUAUGACAUAAAACAUUUAAAAACAUCCAUGGGACUAUAUUUAAAAAAUCAACUUGAUAAUGUUUAGUUGGAUUGUAUAAUGUGUUUUGUUUUGUUUUGUUGGAUUAUAAAAUGUUUAAGUUUCUGUUUUUUUGUUUAUUUAUAAAAUCAUCCAUGGGACUUCAUUUUCGGUUCAAGGUUCCAUUUUUUUAAGAAACCAGUCCAAAUCGGACCAUGCCCACCCCUACCUCUCUGUCUCUUUUUUUGCUUUGUUUUCCUUCUCUCUCUCUCUCUCUCUCUCUCUCUCUCUCUCUCUCUCUCUCUCUCUCUCUCUUCCUUAUAUAUUCUCUCCUCUCUCUGUUUUUUUAUUUAAAUUUUUUCAAUUGUGAGUUUUGUAACAUGCAUGUUAUUUUAUUUAUGAACCCAUUACACGACUCCAAACUCACACAAAAAAAGACGACCCGAACCCAAGAAGACAUGUUUAUUAAAUGGGUUAGAUUCGGGUUGAGCAUUCUUGACACGUUUGUUAAUUGGAUUGGGUUAAAUAAAUCAAUGACAGCAUAAAAUGAACACAGGGUUUGUGAAAAAUGUGAUAUUUUCAAUGACUAUAUUAAUAAAUCUUUAUUUUUUGAGUAGUUAGAUUUUUGCACAAAGCUUACCUUCCUCAACUGAUAGCUGCAUUGAUCUUUUGUCUAGCUCAACGGCGUGUCUGCUAAGCUCAGAUGGUGAUAAUUGACGAAGCGCUGGCAACAUGAUGAACGAAGAGCAUUUUCAGUGCUGGCAAAACUAAAGGCAGAAAAAUUGUAUGAAAUUUUUUAAAUUGAAAGAGCAGUGCCAUAAUAAAAUGACCUACUCUGGAUCUAUUCUCUCUGAUCAGAAUCAUCAAAUUGCUUCAAGAGGUUCUUGAAAUGUAGAAACCCUUCUGUCCUUUGCUCAUCAUGGUUCUUCUCAGAACCAACCAAGUGAGGAACCAGAGAUUCAGGAGUGAAUCUAAGUUGCCUGGAAUGAGCAGCUGGCAAUCCAUUGGAACAGGUGGUUUACCAGGUGAAAAAUCUACCGGAGAAGCCAAGGGCAUUGGUGCGAACGCAGAUGUCUCAUGUUCCUGCUUCUUGGUUCUGUCUCUAGGUAGGUCUUGCUGCUUUUGCAAACAAUAUCGUUUGAAAUUGAGAGAGUAAGUAUUUUGUUCUCACACCUUUAACUCUUCGCUUGCCUAAUGCUGAAUCUAACUUCCUCGCACUACCACCAUGCAUGAGCUGAUCACUUGCACUGCUGAUGCUCGUGAAUUGGUGACAAGGGGAGCUCCGUGGCAACUCAGGGUUGAGUAUCUUAGUUCCCAAAACCUUAAUGGGAUGCGCGACUGGUCGUCCUAGAAAAACAUACUUGUUAGGGUUAGAGGUCCAUCGGAGUAGUCAUUAGCUGCUAAUCAACCCGAGAGAGAGAGAGAGAGAGAGAGAGAGAGAGAGAGAGAGAGAGAGAGAGAGAGAGAGAGAGCAAAGAAGAAAUGUGGGGCGUGUUUUUUUUUUCCUAAUCUUAUAAUUAAGCGUGUGUUUUCUAAAUCGGGGCAUGUGAGUUGUAUUAGUCGGGUAAUGAGAGUAUUAAAAACUUUCGUUUAAUAUAAUUCAGUAAUUAAGUAAUACAAGUUGACAUCAAACAAAUGACAUUGACUAUUUACUCAUAUCCAUAGUCUAAUACCAUGUACCAAACAUACCUAUACGAGCUUUUGCCACAUGACUCAUCUAACAUGACAAUCCAAGUCCACAAACACAAGCAUACACACUAAGACAGGACACUCAUAUGCAUGUGAACUACAAGAACGACUGCAUAAUAUCUUGUAUAGAAACAAGACAAUACAACCGGCGCUUAUUACAUUGGAACUACAGUUCACAUUACAUACCAAAUUUAGUAUAACACAGAUAGGAAUUCAAACAUUUGACUUGGCAUAACCCUCAAAUGCUUGGCCUCACAUUGAGACGGGAUAAAAGCUUUUGACCCAGAGACUUAUCUGCCUGCAUUGCCAAUACAAGCACAUAACAUCAGAACAACAUGGCUUAUUCUAAAACUAACCCUUCAUAUUCCAGUAUCACAUCAUCACGUUGCUUAACGGUACAAAUUCACAAAUGCAAUAAUUUAUAAAUAGACUCACCUGAGACCAGUAUGAGAUCCAAAUGCUGCGAAUCUCAUGGGUGACACGAGGGUCUGAUAGGGCAUCCACCCAUCGGCGGAUGAAUCGCUCUUGCCUGCAUGAAGAUGCAAGAUUAAGAACAAUGUUUAAAUACAAUUAUUUUCAUACAGAGACAUCACAGGGUUGCCAGGUACCUGUCUGGCGCCCAAGAUCUGUAUCUCUCUCCAGGUUGCUUAAAGUUGUUCUCCUUCUCAAUGACGCACUGAAUAACCAAAACAAAGUUCCCAUAUGAAUUAUUAUGUGCAGAAAACAAGGAAAAUCCAGAAAUGCAAUCGGUGCAUAUGUAUACACACACACACCUACACUAGUGUAUGUGCCCAGGUGACAGAAAAAGGGACACAGCUGGAAGAAAAGAUGAUGUACAGACGAGACGGGGAAACUAAGGUAUAUUAUUUAAAGCAAUAUUCCUCAAUUGAUAGAAACUGACCUUCUCACGCUUUCCAGAAAGGAUAUUAGAAGGAAUGGGGUAGCGCUCAGCAUGACGAACAGGAUCAUGCCUUGAAGGGAAGUAAUUAACCUGAAAAUAACAGUAUAGCAACUCAUCAGAGAAAACUCAAAUGAAUAAACAUGCAUACAAUUGGAGUUGUCCUCCCAGAAUAUUGAGCAAUCGAAGUAUACAAGGGCCAAAGCGAUUCCAUAUGAGACAUAACAAUUGAGUAAAAUAAUAAUACCUCCUCAUCCCUGUGCAUGAAAUUCAUGAAUCCCUCAUGAUGAUUGUUAUGAUGAGGACACUUGGGAGCAUUCACUGGGAGCUGCAGAUAGUUCGGGCCAAGACGGUGCCUCUGAGUAUCAGAAUAUGCGAAGAUUCGAGUUUGGAGCAUCUUAUCAUCUGAAUAGUAGAUACCAGGGACAACAUGGGCAGGGUUAAACGCAAGUUGUUCAUUCUCUGCAAAGAAGUUAUCGAUGUUUUUAUUCAGAACCAAACGGCCAACUGGCUGCAGGGGAAGGAUAUCUUCAGGCCAGGUCUUAGUUAAGUCAAGAGGGUCAAAGUCAAAUCUGUCCUCGUGAUCAGGAUCCAUUGUCUGAAUAUAAAGUUUCCACUCAGGGUAGUUGCCAGCUGCAAUGGAAUCAUAGAGGUCCUUGGUAGCAUGGCUGUGAUUAGCUCCUCCAACCUUAAUAGCUUCAUCCUCCAACAAACACUUGACUCCACAAGUAG